UAGCGGGAGAGCGAGCAGGAGCAGGGGGAGGGGCAGAGGGAGAAGGAGGGGCAGACUCCCCGCUGGGUCGGGAGCCUCCUGUGGGACUUGAUUCCAAGACCCUGAGAUCAUGACCUGAGCCCCCCGGGUCUCCCUCCUUAUGAUUCUUCAUAACAUCUCGUUUCCUCCAGCUGUAAGAGUGCAGUGUAGGAGACAUAAGACAUCUGUGUUAACGGACUGCUGACCUGACGUUACGUGUUCUUUGAAGAGGAAGAAGAAUGACUCCUCUUACACGUCAAUGACAACUGCACCUUCUAAACCUAAGCAAGAAGAGCCCACCACACCUGCAGAUCCGACUAGAUAGGACCUCCCUUGUCUCUAUGGAAUUCCCUGGAAAGAAAUAAGUGAAAGCCUGAGUCUAUGUAUGGGACUCACUCAUUCAGUUUACUACCUACACAAUACUUAACAAUCACUUAAAAUACACCAGGAACCGUGCUGGGUUUGGGGAUAUAAAAGGCAGGCAUGACUCCUGUGUCCAUGAAUCUUACAGUCUGGAGGGGAGAAUACAUGGGGCAUGUUUGCAUUUACAAGAACUUUAGGAACACAGAAUAGGGCCGUAAUCUAUGCUUAUCAGUGAUAUUAAAAAGAUGAUGGCUUCUGGAGUCAUGGAUACCAUUUUCUUCACCGUCUUUGAUGAGUACCUGCUGCCACCACCACACCUCUGUGGUCUAAUGGAGCAUUCCAAUGACCCAGUGGGGGCAUGCUGGUUGUAUCCUCGCCUGUGAGCAGUAUGUAAGGACUUACGUGGUUUUAUUCUUUUCUGCUGCUCACACAUGAGCAAAACAUUAGUUUCCAUUAAGAAGGGACCUACAAUAGAGAAACAAAAGAUGACAGUCUGUGGUUCUUUCUGUGUAGAGUUUAAUGAGAAUAAUGAGAAGGAAGGGGAGGCAGGAAGGGUUUUCCUUGUAGUUUCAAAUCCAAAGACGCUCAGUGACUUUAGGUAAGACACAACUUCCUUUAUCCUUCAAUUUAUCCUACUGUUACAUAGAAUGAUACAGAAAAAAAAAACCAACUACAUAGGGCAGUAAGCAGAA